rnacentral:rRNA from 1 species
AUACGGAUGGUGCGAGCGUUGUUCGGAAUUACUGGGCGUAAAGGGCGCGUCGGCGGCGAUGUAAGUCAAAUGUGAAAGUCCUCGGCUUAACCGGGGAAGUGCAUCUGAAACUGCAUUGCUUGAGUAUGGGAGAGGAAAGUGGAAUUCCCGGUGUAGAGGUGAAAUUCGUAGAGAUCGGGAGGAAUACCGGUGGCGAAGGCGACUUUCUGGACCAAUACUGACGCUGAGGCGCGAAAGCGUGGGGAGCAAACAGGAUUAGAAACCCUAGUAGUCC